UCAACCAUCAAGCCUAGCUUGUCGUUGGACCCCCUUUGCAGCUGAAAUAUGCAGCAGGUCCGAAAGAUAAUGACGGCGUCGUGUUUGACCCUAGAUGCAACGAGCUUUUUAUAGCACGCAUUGAAGUGGUCGGCCGACCCGGUCUUUAACCAUCAUUUUCUAA
rnacentral:misc_RNA from 1 species